GCUGUAGGUUCAGUGGAAUCCUGAUAGGAAAUAUUCAGACCCAGAGAAGAAUGAUCCCCAAUGCAGAGCUGGGCUCUCUGGCUCAAGACUGGAGGUAGGAUCACAGGGGAGGAGAGUCUAGGUUGCAAUUAUUGAAUAUUUUGCUAGAGGCCUGACAAAAGCCACCGCUGUCCUACUUUUCAUCAAGAUUCACAACACAGUGAAGCUAGUUCCUAGGGUUUUAAAGGUGAGUUCUUUCCUUCCAAUGCAUUAAAGGGAAGUAAAAGCAAGUGUUUGGGUCUUGCUGUCUACCUCAACUGUCCCUGUGUGUUCUCCAUCGGGGGAUGCCUUCAUCAUCCCUCUCCACCUCCACAUCUUAAACAGCCUGCAGAGAGGCGGCAUCUGAAAGGAUGGAGGGAGCACGAGGGAGUUACGGGAGGGCACUGAGAGAUUACAUGUGGCAGGGGUCCGUGAGCCAAUGGCAGAGCUGGGAAGCUCUAGGAAGCUAGGGGCGCCCCUGGUGGCUCAGACAGCAAAGAAUCUGCCUGCAAUGCUGAGACCUGGGUUCAAUCCUUGGGUCAGGAAGAUGCCCUGGAGCAGAGAAUGGCUACCCACUCCAGUAUUCUUGCCUGGAGAAUUCCACGGACAGAGGAGCCUGGUACAAAGAGUGAUGGUGACGGUUGGUGUGAAUUGUUAAAAGGUACAACAGAGCCCGAGUUGAAAAGCACCUGUAUGAUCCUUCAAGAGGUGUGAGUGCUAUGCACCCUGAGGGCAAAGCUGCUCUUCUUGGUGUUAGAGCAUCUUUUAGACAUGAGGCUCAAGCAGUCCUGACCCUUAUACACCCCAAACUCCAGGACAACACCAGCUGCUGAAGCUAGAAUGCCUUUGUACACACACUUCACCAUCUUUCUGCUGAUCUGAUUUUUAAAUAUUCACAAGAGCAAUGAGAAUGUAUGGAUCAUAGUGGUGGGGUUCCACUGGGAUGACAUUGACACCCACACCCAGCUUAAGAGAUUUUCCGUAUCAGCCAGAGGGGAACAAAAAGGAAAUGUCAAUCUUUUCCUUGGUCAGACUGGUGUACGUAUGGGAAAAUCUUUGCUACUAGAGCACAACUUAAUGGAAUUUUUUGAGUCUUCAUACCAAGCCUUAAAGAUGUGUCUCUGUGCUUAGGUGGGGCCUGGGGGUCACUUGGGAGAAUUUGUUCACUUCUGGACAAAACUGCCAGUUGUCUGAGGUUUGGAAGUGCCUUGUUAAUCAGGAAACAAUUUGAAGUUAUCACUGUCAUUGCUCACAGAAUACAAAGUCACACCAAAGAACUCCUUAGGCAAGAAACCUGUAGCCUAGAGGAGACAAGCUGGGCUUUGUCAAGUGCACCGCCUGGGUCCAGAGGGAGAACCCAGACCUUCUGAUUGGUUCCCCCAGGACUGGGUCUGGUUCCAGCAACACCAGUGACCUGGAAGCCCCAAACUCUCUGAGAAAACUUAGCCAUCUCCCAUCUGAGCGUCUCAUCUGUUAACAGGGAAGAUAUGGUUUCCUCUAAGGCUCACUCCAGAUACCAAAGAGUUUUCAAAUCUUAGUUGGAAUUUUAACAUCGAAUUUCUGGAGGGGAAAGAGCAUCUGAAACCAAAAACAUAGAAAAGAAACUCAGGCAGGGUUGAAAAAUACAUUCUUGGAGAGCAAGUAUUUAACCUUCUCUCUGAUCUGGAGCACACAGCCGGGAGAAACUUCUGGAAGUGAUUCAGGGGAGCAGGUG
ensembl:lncRNA